rnacentral:rRNA from 1 species
CCUACGGGGGGCAGCAGUGGGGAAUAUUGGACAAUGGGGGCAACCCUGAUCCAGCCAUGCCGCGUGUGUGAAGAAGGCCCUCGGGUUGUAAAGCACUUUCAGUGAGGAAGAACGCCUGGUGGUUAAUACCCAUCAGGAAAGACAUCACUCACAGAAGAAGCACCGGCUAACUCCGUGCCAGCAGCCGCGGUAAUACGGAGGGUGCGAGCGUUAAUCGGAAUUACUGGGCGUAAAGCGCGCGUAGGUGGCUUGAUAAGCCGGUUGUGAAAGCCCCGGGCUCAACCUGGGAACGGCAUCCGGAACUGUCAAGGUAGAGGGCAGGAGAGGAAGGUAGAAUUCCCGGUGUAGCGGUGAAAUGCGUAGAGAUCGGGAGGAAUACCAGUGGCGAAGGCGGCCUUCUGGACUGACACUGACACUGAGGUGCGAAAGCGUGGGUAGCAAACAGGAUUAGAUACCCUGGUAGUC